AAAACAUGGACAAAACUUUGUCGAGAGUCAAUUGUAUUUAAAAGGUGUCCCCUGAUUUUAGAGAGUUCAUGUUAAGCCACUUUGCUUUUACAAAAGACUUAACAUCCAUACCUAUUUUCUCCAAAAUGUCUGUCUUGUGGUGAACUUGAGAACUGAUUUAUGUGAUUAACAAGGAAACAGUGGUAUUUAUAAACAUGGAGAGUCUUGGAGAAUGAGAUACUGAUUUUAUAAUUAUGGUGUUACACCCGGAUUCUCACAUAUUGUCUAUACCCACAUUCUUUCAGUACGACAAGUUCAUUAAAACUUCUAAUUAUUACCAAUUUCAAAUUGUGUUUACAAUUUCAAGACUUAAUAUCAUGCUGCCAUUGACUAUGCCAGUCAGUGCUUGGGGAGAACAGAAGUGACUCUAUAACCUGAAACAAGAUGAGCUUCAGAGAACUAAACUGGGAACAGCAAAUCAAUAGUUUCAGAUUUCCCAAAACUCUAAGUCAUCUGUUAGCCUGUCAAAAUUGAUCUUUGGACAUCUGUAGUAUUUCCUGGUGGCUUCACAGGGACUUUGCAUCCUAUACCUGCUGUCGUCUGUGCCUGAUCACCUAUGAUUGCAGCCGAGUAGGGAACAUGGCCCCUCUAGUAGUUGAACUAUCCUCAGUUUUACCAGGAACUUUCUGGAUCUCAUCAUAGCCCUCUCAUCUAGCCUGAUAUCUGAAAAACACAAUACUUUUCAUAGAAGCUAAUUCUUCAGGCACUUCAAACUCAGCCUAGAUGCCUUGAAUAACCAACCACUGAGGAGUAUCAGCAACAUCUGUCAACUCAUCAAAAGUGCAAGAAAACAACUCAAAAUCAUUUGCCUUGUUUUUUAAUUGACUACUGAUGUUGCUCCCAAAGUCCUCAACUCUGUAAUCAACUGUUCUCACUGAAAGACUAACAGCCUUUGUACAUAUUUCCUCAGCUGUUGGAAUCAAGCACAAUUUAAUUAACUCAUAUCAGUAAAUGGCUUUCCAGGCUUGAACAACAAAUUAAUCACUCAGAAUCUUCCUUUGAUUGCAGCUUCAUUUUCAUUUUUAUGUUUGUGCAGACAUUUUUCUGUGAUGAGAUAUUGUUUUAAAUGAAAAUGAUCUAUUUUUUUCUGUUACUUUCCUAUGAGUUGGAAUAUUGUGAUGAGGGCUUAGUCUGGUAAUGUCCAUGUAUAUUGUAUUCUUUUAGCACAGCUAUGGUAUCGUUGCAUAAUAAACACAACACUUGUCCUCCUAAUGACAAAAUAACGCAUGUUCCAUUUUGCCCUAAAACAUGACGUUGGGAACCUACUCUUCUCUUUUUUUUUUCUUAUUUUGACAUAAUAGGUGUGAUGGCAAUAAACAUGAAUGUUUUGUUACGGGUGAUAUGUGCAGCACUCAAAAUGCUAUAUUGUGUUUUAAGUGCAUCGCUGUGAAUUAUAGUUCACUAGACAGCACUAAGAAUAAGAGCGCCACACACAUUCUCUGCUUCAAGGACUCAGUUCUGCUGUACUAGUGUGAAAGCAACCAAACACAGUAUGCACAGCAGUGAUUGUGUCUGUGUUCCUAUGAGACUAUAUUUAUGGCUGCUAAAAUUUGAACUUUAUAUAAUGUUCUUAUAUCACAAAAUAUUUUUCUUUUGAUUGUUUUUCAAACCUGUAGAAGUGUUAUGAAGGCCAUUUUUAGGUAAGAGAUGAUAUAAAACUGGGUGAUGGGCCUCAUUUGGCCUAUGAGUUAUAGUUUACCAUCCCCUGCUUCACACAAAUUCUGAAUCAUUUAUAGUCUCCUUUCCCCCAUUACUUAGUACUUACAUGCUUUUGCCUUACUGAAUCCCUCUCACAGGAGUGCGCCUCUCUACAUCUUUUUGAUGCAAUUUUCCAAACAUUGAAAAUUGUCACUUAACAGAUUUUGUAGAUAGUUCAAUAGUUGUGCUUUCUGUGUGAUUUUGCUGCUGUAUAGCUAAGUCCAGAAAGGACAUAUAGAAGAGUGAAAUUUGUUCUGUCACUGUUUCCUAAUUCACAUAAAACAACUGUUGUUCCAUUUUGUUUUAUUUUAAAAUAAUUAGCAAGAAAUUGUCCUGAGAUAGAGUGUGAAUUUUGUAAGAUUGGGCAGAAAGUGUAGGAAAAAAAUCACUUAUGCCAAAAGAUUGUUUUGAGGGUUAAAUAAGAGCAUGAACACUCUAAGCAUAGAGAAAAGUGAUAAUAAAACUGACUUUCUUCUCCAUUUUUGCUCUAAAAAUGUUCACUUUGAGAGCAAAUUGGUGAAGAAAUAUGUGAACUUCAUACACACAAUCAAGCUGCUGUGCACUAAAUGACAUCGAUUUUCUUAUGCCUGUACCAUUCUAAUAUCUGCUAUUCAGAUUCCCUGGUGAUUCCAUUUCUGUGACUAAGAUCUAUUUUUAAAAACCAUUUUGCUUAUUGAAAUGCUUUUAAAAUAUUGGAAAAGGAAAGAGGAAUAUUGUCAAUUAUACCUCAAUUUUUUAAAAAAAGAAAUGAAAGAGGAGAUGUUAAAACUGAUUCCACAAAGGUACAAAGGAUCAUAAUAAUUGUUACUAUGGACAAUUAUUAAAAAAAGAAAGAAAAAGAAGGAGAGAAAGGGAA